CCUGCAUGGCACCUGCUCCCCUGGUGGUCUGGUCCCUGGGCAGAAAGCUCCUCCUCUUGCCUAGAGCAUUCACCUGUGAGUCAGUCUUGGCAAAGAGCAGCCAAAGGAAGUAGAGG
rnacentral:miRNA from 1 species